CGGCGACCCGAGCCGCGGCGCGGCGCCCUGGCCGUCCUCAUGGACCCCCGCACCAAGAAGAAGAGCCCCAACUGCAUGCGUCGAUGCAUGAUGCAGGGCCUUCUCCACCCGGCGCAGUGUCACUCGCUAUGCUGAAGCCCCUAGACGACGUCCAACAACACACUGACAAGGCUGUGUCCAUCAUCGGCCAUGGCCUGACCCGACCUGAGGGGCGCCGGAGG
rnacentral:lncRNA from 1 species